UCCAAAGCGCUAUUGUGUCAGACUCAUCUCCCGCUGAAGAGGAUCCAGAUCAAGAGAUUACGGAAAAUCACGCGAGAUAACUGGCUUGCACCUUAUUGGGUUUUUUCAAGGGCAGAGGGGAGAUUCCUGGCGUGCAUCCACUUAAUUUGAAGAAGAACAUCACCUGAUCACCUGUCUGUAAUCCACCUGCUUAAGUUCUGGUCAAGGGGCUCAUCGGCUAUCAAGUUAUAGAUUUCAGUGGCUAAUAGAUGAAGAUGAUGUCCAGCAUCCUGCUGCCUCAUCCUCAGCUCAUGUCUCUGUGCAGCAACAUUUGUAGUGAAUGUGACACAGAGCAGCUAUCAGGCAGAGGAGAAGCAGAACAUCACUCUGGAGUGGACCUUCACCACCAAGACUCAGGGAACCUGGAAGAAUCUGUUCAUCUUCUGCAGCUUGUUGGCUCCUGAUAAAGAACUAGUUCUCUAUCAGGUCCAUGAUGGAGUUGAGAUUCCAGAGUCUCAGGAUGAUCAGUUUUCAGGACGAGUCCAGAGCAACAAAGACGUCCUCAGAGAAGGACGAAUAAGACUCCAUGUGUCCAGACUGAGGACUGAAGACUCUGGUCUGUAUCUGUGUGACGUGAAAACUGAAGAUGGAACCAACAAUGCAGAAUGCCGACUCAGCG